AUCGCGGGAGAGGUCAGAGGUCAUGAUGUCUGCAGUGAGGCUGCUGUCUGCGUUCCUUCUGCUGCUGCCAUGUCAGCUGGAGGCAAAAUCCCUGAUGAAUAUCCUCCAACAGGAAGAUGGUGCUUCAGUCAGGAUCGACUCCAACAAGGCGAAUGAAUUCCUGUCCAGUUCUCGCCCGAGACGCAGCGUUGAUCCACGCUGGCACAG